AUAUUAAAGUUGUUGCGGUAAAAAAGCUCGUAGUUGGAUUUCUGUUGAGGACGACCGGUCGUACCAUGUACGCGCAUCUGGCUCGGCCUCGGCAUCCUCUCGAUAGACGUUUCUGCGCUUGAUUGCGUGGAACGGAUUUCGGGACUUUUACUUUGAGGAAAUUAGAGUGUUCACGGCAGGCUAUCGCCAGAAUACAUUAGCAUGGAAUAAUAUUAUAGGAUCUCGGUUCUAUUUUGUUGGUUUCUAGACCCGGGGUAAUGAUUAAUAGGGACAAUUGGGGGCAUUUGUAUCAACACGUCAGAGGUGGAAUUCUUGGAUUGUGUUGCGACAAACUACUGCGAAAGCAUUUGCCAAGGAUGUUUUCAUUGAUCAAGAACGAAAGUAAGGGGAUCGAAGACGAUUAGAUACUGUCGUAGUCUUUACCAUAAACUAUGCCAACUAGAGAUGGGGCAUCGUUCACUUACGACUUGCUCCGCAUCUUAUGAGAUAUCAAAGUCUAUGGGUUCCGGGGGGAGUAUGGUCGCAAGU
rnacentral:rRNA from 1 species